GGCAGCGCGGACUUCGGUCUGGCGGCGAGUGGCGAACGGGUGAGUAAUACAUCGGAACGUGUCCUGUAGUGGGGGAUAGCCCGGCGAAAGCCGGAUUAAUACCGCAUACGCUCUACGGAGGAAAGGGGGGGAUCUUAGGACCUCUCGCUACAGGGGCGGCCGAUGGCAGAUUAGCUAGUUGGUGGGGUAAAGGCCUACCAAGGCGACGAUCUGUAGCUGGUCUGAGAGGACGACCAGCCACACUGGGACUGAGACACGGCCCAGACUCCUACGGGAGGCAGCAGUGGGGAAUUUUGGACAAUGGGCGCAAGCCUGAUCCAGCAAUGCCGCGUGUGUGAAGAAGGCCUUCGGGUUGUAAAGCACUUUUGUCCGGAAAGAAAUCCUUUGGCCUAAUACGUCGGGGGGAUGACGGUACCGGAAGAAUAAGCACCGGCUAACUACGUGCCAGCAGCCGCGGUAAUACGUAGGGUGCAAGCGUUAAUCGGAAUUACUGGGCGUAAAGCGUGCGCAGGCGGUUCGCUAAGACAGAUGUGAAAUCCCCGGGCUUAACCUGGGAACUGCAUUUGUGACUGGCGGGCUAGAGUAUGGCAGAGGGGGGUAGAAUUCCACGUGUAGCAGUGAAAUGCGUAGAGAUGUGGAGGAAUACCGAUGGCGAAGGCAGCCCCCUGGGCCAAUACUGACGCUCAUGCACGA
rnacentral:rRNA from 1 species